rnacentral:misc_RNA from 1 species
AACGCAAAUUGCGCCCGAGUCUUCGGACAAGGGCAUGUCUGCCUCAGCGUCGGGUUAAUACUCGCAAUACCAACCCCUGUGGUUGAUUAAUUGCUGACCUGGCCGUCCCGACCGAUUCAGUUUGGUCGGGUCGGCUGAAGUACAGAGGUUGUCCGCAUGGACCCGAUAUGGGCCUCAACUGGGUAGGCUAUUCGUUGCUGAAUGCUUUAGUUGAUGGCUUGUGGGCCGUGCAAUGUAGGCCCAACCAAGAACCGGGCUUGAGCCCGAAACAUAACCCAUUUUCUCGAUCUGAGCUCAGGCAAGAACACCCGCUGAGCUUA